GCCCCGGUCGUAUAGUCCGGACCAGUAUGCAGGCCUGUCGAGCCUGCGACCCGGGUUCAAAUCCCGGCCGGGGCG
rnacentral:tRNA from 1 species